AAUUUAAAGUGCCUUUAGUAAUUGCAGUCACCGUUGUUGUAUUCACGACAGUGAAUCGUCAUCAUUUACGCCCCGAGCUCUUCCACGGUGUCAUCAUUUUUCGGCAAAGAACGUCUUCAGUAAAUACUAGUGGUGGUAAUCCAGUUUUCCUUGGAAGUCGUUGGAGAUACAUGUACCUGACAUUGUACAUUGUAGGUAGAACACAUUGUAGGUAGAACGCAUUGUAGGUACUACCGUAGUACGCAUGGUAGGUAGUACGCAUUGUAGGUAGUACGCAUUGUAGGUAGAACGCCAUUGUAGGUAGUACGCAUUGUAGGUAGAACGCAUUGUAGGUAGAACGCAUUGUAGGUAGAACGCAUUGUAGGUAGAACGCAUAGUAGGUAGAACGCAUUGUAGGUAGAACGCAUUGUAGGUAGAACACAUUGUAGGUAGAACGCUGAAUGAAGGGGCUGACUCAAUAGUAUAAAGAAGGAUACGUGCCUGGGUAUUUCAAAGCGAUUGCAUGACGGGAAUCAGUAAGUCUUUUAAAAUGGCUUGUGCCUACGUUGACGUUGAGAUCAGCGAGAAAACCAGCGCAUGCGGGCAACGAAUAAUGUGCACAUGCUAUAAUAAGCCUAUAUCAGCUGUGCAGGGAUAGGUGCACUGUUCCCCCCCCCCCCCCCAGACGUAAGGUCUAGGGAUCAUGGGGUGCAGCACGCAUCGCUUCAAAGUUGUCUGUUUUACCUAAAAUACUUGGAAGAUGGGUUAAUAUCUUUGAUUAUUAUUGCAUUUUGCGCUCAUGUUUAAUUAUACGAGAUGUGGAUGGCAGUCGUGACUCGUGAGUCAGUCAAGUACAUGUACCAAGUCAAGUCGACGGAAAAGCGCGAGCUCCGAUGUGGGGAGCGAACACCUUUCUAUAUGAUUGUAUCUACACUCAUGUAUAGCAUGUACACAAUUACAUUGUAUGUACAUGUUUCGCUCCCUGAUAUCACAACGUAUGUGUAGAUUGGCAGCAAGAUACCUUGCAUUUACUUUGUACAUGAAAGAGAAUGUACAGUACAUUGUAUGACCAAUGGCAAUGCAUUAUUGAGAACGUAGAGAUCAUUGAGGGACGGUGCAUUGCAUGGAAGGCAGAAGUACCGUGGAUUUUUUUAAAUACCACAAAAACACGUAAC